GUUUUCAUGUUUUCUUUUCGUUAUAAUGGACAACAGUUAUGUGUUGAUGCUGCCAAAGAGGACGACUCCCUUGGGAGACUUGUCAAUGACAACCAUUUAAACCCAAAUUGCAAAAUGAAAGCAAUGAGUGUGAAUGGAAAACCACAUCUUUGUCUCUUUGCCAUAAAAGACAUCAGUCGGGCGACGAGAUAAUGUACGACUAUGGAGAUUCAUAUUGGCCAUGGAGAUGCAAGAUUCCUACUGAGACGGAUCCUCAUGCUGGUGUGACAUCCGAGUCCCCCUUUGACAACAUCCAGCAGAUUCCUACUGAGACGGAUCCUCAUGCUGGUGUGACAUCCGAGUCCCCCUUUGACAACAUCCAGCAGGU